AUUGAACGCUGGCGGCAGGCUUAACACAUGCAAGUCGAGCGGAGAUGAGGUGCUUGCACCUUAUCUUAGCGGCGGACGGGUGAGUAAUGCUUAGGAAUCUGCCUAUUAGUGGGGGACAAAAUUCCGACAGGAAUGCUAAUACCGCAUACGUCCUACGGGAGAAAGCAGGGGAUCUUUGGAGCUUGCGCUAAUAGAUGAGCCUAAGUCGGAUUAGCUAGUUGCUGGGGUAAAGGCCUACCAAGGCGACGAUCUGUAGCGGGUCUGAGAGGAUGAUCCGCCACACUUGGACUGAGACACGGCCCAGACUCCUACGGGAGGCAGCAGUGGGGAAUAUUGGACAAUGGGGGGAACCCUGAUCCAGCCAUGCCGCGUGUGUGAAGAAGUCCUUAUGGUUGUAAAGCACUUUAAGCGAGGAGGAGGCUACCUGGAUUAAUACUCUGGGAUAGUGGACGUUACUCGCAGAAUAAGCACCGGCUAACUCUGUGCCAGCAGCCGCAGUAACAC
rnacentral:rRNA from 1 species